rnacentral:rRNA from 1 species
UACGUAAGUGGCGAGCGUUAUCCGGAAUUACUGGGCGUAAAGCGUGUGUAGGCGGUUUAGUGUGUGGGAAUUGAAAGCCCGGGGCUCAACUCCGGAUCCGGUUCCCAAACUGCUAGACUCGAGCGUAUCAGAGGACAGUGGAAUUCCCGGUGUAGCGGUAAUAUGCGUAGAUAUCGGGAGGAACACCAGUGGCGAAGGCGACUGUCUGGGGUAUUGCUGACGCUGAGACACGAAAGCCAGGGGAGCGAACAGG